AUAUCAAUAAGCGGAGGAAAAGAAACCAACAGGGAUUGCCCCAGUAACGGCGAGUGAAGCGGCAACAGCUCAAAUUUGAAAUCUGGCCCCCAGGGUCCGAGUUGUAAUUUGCAGAGGAUGCUUUUGGCAAGGUGCCUUCCGAGUUCCCUGGAACGGGACGCCAUAGAGGGUGAGAGCCCCGUCUGGUUGGAUACCGAGCCUCUGUAAAGCUCCUUCGACGAGUCGAGUAGUUUGGGAAUGCUGCUCUAAAUGGGAGGUAUAUGUCUUCUAAAGCUAAAUAUUGGCCAGAGACCGAUAGCGCACAAGUAGAGUGAUCGAAAGAUGAAAAGCACUUUGAAAAGAGGGUUAAAUAGUAC
rnacentral:rRNA from 1 species